GGGGAAGUACUCAAGUGGCUGAAGAGGACGGUUUGCUAAACCGUUAGGUCGGAUUGUUCCGGCGCGCGGGUUCAAAUCCCGCCUUCUCCGCCA
rnacentral:tRNA from 1 species